rnacentral:misc_RNA from 1 species
CGUGAAGAGUUAUGGCUUCUGGGAUGGGAACAAGAUACAGACUGGGUUUUCAUCUUUACCCGAGUACUUUUUGGCAAAGUAUCCUGCAGCAUUUGGCAAUUAUCAUGUGCCCUCAUUGAAAAUGGAGCAGCAGGCUUUGCAGGCUGCUGUGAAGUGUAAUGAUCAUAAUUUGAACAGUGUCUCAGUUUUACCUCCGAGGGAAAUAAGUGGUAGCAAUGGAGUUGUGGAUUAUCAUAUAUACAGGAGUCACGACAGUAGUAAUGUGCUGCCGUAUUCUGUAGAUAUGAAACAGCGGCAGGAUAUAUUCUCUGAGAUGCCAAGAAGAAAUGGGUUUGAUUCAAUCUCAAGUUUACAGGAGCAGGGAAGGGGAAUGGUAGGAAUGAAUGUUGUAGGAAGAGGGGGAGUUCUUGUUGGCGGACCAUGCACGGGUGUUUCAGAUCCAGUAGCCGCCCUAAAAAUGCACUACUCUAAAACUGAACAGUAUGGUGGGCAAAAUGGAAGCACUAUCAGAGAGGAGGAAUCUUGGAGAAGUAAGGGAGAUAUAGGCAGGGAGGAGGAGUGGUGAGAGGGCCUGUUGAAGAGGGCC